UACGUAGGGGGCAAGCGUUGUCCGGAUUUAUUGGGCGUAAAGAGCGUGUAGGCGGCUAGGUAGGUCCGUUGUGAAAACUCGAGGCUCAACCUCGAGACGUCGAUGGAAACCAUCUAGCUAGAGUCCGGAAGAGGAGAGUGGAAUUCCUGGUGUAGCGGUGGAAUGCGCAGAUAUCAGGAGGAACACCGGUGGCGAAGGCGGGUCUCUGGGCAGUAACUGACGCUGAGGAGCGAAAGCGUGGGGAGCGAACAGG
rnacentral:rRNA from 1 species